rnacentral:rRNA from 1 species
GAUGAACGCUGGCGGCGUGCCUAAUACAUGCAAGUCGAGCGAACAGAUGAGGAGCUUGCUCCUCUGACGUUAGCGGCGGACGGGUGAGUAACACGUGGAUAACCUACCUAUAAGACUGGGAUAACUUCGGGAAACCGGAGCUAAUACCGGAUAAUAUACUGAACCGCAUGGUUCAAUAGUGAAAGACGGUUUUGCUGUCACUUAUAGAUGGAUCCGCGCCGCAUUAGCUAGUUGGUAAGGUAACGGCUUACCAAGGCAACGAUGCGUAGCCGACCUGAGAGGGUGAUCGGCCACACUGGAACUGAGACACGGUCCAGACUCCUACGGGAGGCAGCAGUAGGGAAUCUUCCGCAAUGGGCGAAAGCCUGACGGAGCAACGCCGCGUGAGUGAUGAAGGUCUUCGGAUCGUAAAACUCUGUUAUUAGGGAAGAACAAAUGUGUAAGUAACUAUGCACGUCUUGACGGUACCUAAUCAGAAAGCCACGGCUAACUACGUG